CCAGACUCCUACGGGAGGCAGCAGUGGGGAAUAUUGGGCAAUGGGCGCAAGCCUGACCCAGCAACGCCGCGUGAAGGAAGAAGGCUUUCGGGUUGUAAACUUCUUUUGUCAGGGACGAAGCAAGUGACGGUACCUGACGAAUAAGCCACGGCUAACUACGUGCCAGCAGCCGCGGUAAUACGUAGGGGGCAAGCGUUAUCCGGAUUCACUGGGUGUAAAGGGAGCGUAGACGGCGACGCAAGUCUGGAGUGAAAGCCCGGGGCCCAACCCCGGGACUGCUCUGGAAACUGCGUCGCUGGAGUACGGGAGGGGCAGGCGGAAUUCCUGGUGUAGCGGUGAAAUGCGUAGAUAUCAGGCGGAACACCGGCGGCGAAGGCGGCCUGCUGGACCGUGACUGGCGUUGAGGCUCGAGAGCGUGGGGAGCAAACAGGAUUAGAUACCCGUGUAA
rnacentral:rRNA from 1 species